GCUUACGAGGGGGGAUGUUCCAGUUAGAAUCGUCCCAGUGAACAAGCACCAAACCAGCGAAUAAAUCUACAUGACUGGUGCUACAUGUUGGAGUUCCGUGUCGAUGACUGAUUGUACACAACGCAAGAAGAGUACUGUUACAUCAAGUCACCGUCAUUCACCUACCUCGUCACCUGCGGCAGGUCCAUGAGUGGGGCAGAGCGGAGGCCCAGUCUGCAGUCAACAUAUUCGGUCUCGGAGCACCAAGCAGACAUGGUGGCAGCAGCAAGGCUAAAAACAACCAUCACUCCAGGCCUUGCCCCAUGACAGGCUGUCAUGAAGUGGUCAAAAGACUGCCAGCCCACCUGAGAAAGCAACACAAGCUUGAAAAGAACUCUCCUCUAUACAGAGAGCUUCUUACAGCAUCACAGAAGAGAAGGUCAAAUGUCAAUGAAUUAAUUUUAUGAUGUAUACUGUGAAUAAUUAUUCUAGCUGAUGUAUUGAAGUUGAAUGAGAAAUAUGUAAUUGAAUUGGGACAUGAUUGAACAAGACAAUAUUUGGGAAAGGAAUAAAGAAUGCGCUUGAACUGCCA